GGCUUCUUAAUUUAAUAGGACAGAAUGUGGGAAUCCGGGUUCCAAAGUGGAGGUUCGAUCCCUUCAGGAGUCA
rnacentral:tRNA from 1 species